rnacentral:other from 1 species
AUUCAAGAGGUACAUCCACUAAAACAAGGAUUGAAAC